GAAAUGCGAUAAGUAGUGUGAAUUGCAGAAUUCAGUGAAUCAUCGAAUCUUUGAACGCACAUUGCGCCCUUUGGUAUUCCUUAGGGCAUGCCUGUUCGAGCGUCAUCUAAACCUUCAAGCCCUGCUUGGUGUUGGGUGCCUGUCCCGCCUCCGCGCGCGGACUCACCUCAAAUCCAUUGGCGGCCCCCGCGUCGGCCACGAGCGCAGCAGAAACGCGAACUCGUGAGCCCGUCCGGGCGGCUCCCAGAAGCUACACCCACCCAGUUUGACCUCGGAUCAGGUAGGGAUACCCGCUGAACUUAAGCA
rnacentral:misc_RNA from 1 species